rnacentral:rRNA from 1 species
GUGCCAGCAGCCGCGGUAAUACCGGCAGCCCGAGUGAUGGCCGAUCUUAUUGGGCCUAAAGCGUCCGUAGCUGGCUGCGCAGGUCCGUCGGGAAAUCCACUCGCCCAACGAGUGGCCGUCCGGCGGAACCUGUGUAGCUUGGGACCGGGAGGCCUGAGGGGUACGAUCGGGGUAGGAGUGAAAUCCUGUAAUCCCGCUCGGACCGCCGAUGGGGAAACCACCUCAGGAGAACGGAUCCGACAGUGAGGGACGAAAGCCAGGGUCUCGAACCGGAUUAGAUACCCGAGUAGUCC